GCCAGGCGUGGUGGCGUAUGCCUGUAAUCCCAGCGGCUCCGGAGGCUGAGGCAGGAGGAUCUCAAGCAAUGGCGAGGCGCUUAGCAACUCCCUGUCUCUA
rnacentral:sRNA from 1 species